rnacentral:rRNA from 1 species
AUUGAACGCUGGCGGCAGGCUUAACACAUGCAAGUCGAGCGGAGCGAGGGUGCUUGCACCUUAGCUUAGCGGCGGACGGGUGAGUAAUGCUUAGGAAUCUGCCUAUUAGUGGGGGACAACAUUCCGAAAGGGAUGCUAAUACCGCAUACGCCCUACGGGGGAAAGCAGGGGAUCUUCGGACCUUGCGCUAAUAGAUGAGCCUAAGUCGGAGUAGCUUGUUGGUGGGGUAAAGGCCUACCAAGGCGACGAUCUGUAUCCGGUCUGAGAGGAUGAUACGACACACUGGGACUGGAACACGGCCCAGACUCCGACGGGGAGCAGCAGUGGGGAAUAAUGGACAAUGGGCGGAAGCCUGAUCCAGCCAUGCCGCGUGUGUGAAGAAGGCCUUUUGGUUGUAAAGAACUUUAAGCGAGGAGGAGGCUCAUAAAGUUAAUACCCUUGAUGAGUGGACGUUACUCACAGAAUAAGCACCGGCUAACUCUGUGCCAGCAGCCGCGGUAAUAC